AGAGUUUGAUCCUGGCUCAGAGCGAACGCUGGCGGCAGGCCUAACACAUGCAAGUCGAGCGCUCCGCAAGGGGAGCGGCAGACGGGAGAGUAACACGUGGGAACGUACCCUUCAGUUCGGAACAACCCAGGGAAACUUGGGCUAAUACCGAAUACGUCCGUAAGGAGAAAGAUUUAUCGCUGAAGGAUCGGCCCGCGUCUGAUUAGCUUGUUGGUGAGGUAACGGCUCACCAAGGCGACGAUCAGUAGCUGGUCUGAGAGGAUGAUCAGCCUCACUGGGACUGAGACACGGCCCAGACUCCUACGGGAGGCAGCAGUGGGGAAUAUUGGACAAUGGGCGCAAGCCUGAUCCAGCCAUGCCGCGUGGGUGAUGAAGGCCCUAGGGUUG
rnacentral:rRNA from 1 species